UGUAUUUUCCACUGCAUGCAUCUGAUGAGCUCACGAAAGCUUAUGCUGAAAUAAAUUUGUUCGUCUCUAAGGUGCCACAAGUCCUCCUUUUCUUUGAUCGUGCAGCGUAGAUGGAAACACAGCUAAGCUCAAACUACAUUAGACCACUGUUAGGUUACUACCACGCUCAAACACUGUAGCUUUUGUCCAAGGUGAUUGUGUGAUUUGGCAACAAUUAAAAUGUGGCUAGGUCCUGGUCUACAUUGCAAGAUGGAACCUGGUUUUGGUUGAUUUUGUAAGUAGUCGGGACCAAUGUGGGCAGAACCAAACCAUGUUAUAUCCAUAGGAAAGAACUGUAGUCUGACCCUAGUCCUGCCAGUAAACUCUUUACUGUAGAAGCAUCUGGAUUUAAAAUUAAUUCGUUUGCCUGUGGAGGGCGCUUUGUGUGCAUUUGUCACCUUUCAAUCUUCAUCCCAUUUAAUGCUUUGUGUGAGCCCUCUGGGCUCAGAGUAGGACUCACAAACCCAUCUUCCUGUCUGAGGUGGGAGAGGUGUCACAGAACUGGAAUCCAAGCUACAGUAGACAUCAGUGUGAAGAAAAAAAAAGGGGCGGAAACCCUUCUGGUUUCCAUAUUUCCAAAUUUUCUGCUAGUUCAGAAGCACCCUUUUAUGAGACACUUCUGGAGUCUGGGAAAUCCCAAUUUUACACAGCUUCCUUCCUGAUUUCAGCUCUGCCUCCUGAGGAAAUGCAGUGGCUUUGACAAUACAGAACAGUAAAAUGUUCUGUUUGCAAAAAAUGAGAGAUCAUUAUCAGAUUUUGCCUUUGGGCUUUGUAGUUGGUACUGGCUGGUUUUAUGCAAAAGUACACUCUUGUUUUUCAGAGUAUGGGUCGUGACCCAGUACUGGGCCAUGGAAUGUCAGGCACUGGGUUGCCUUGCUGAUCCAAAUUAUAACGAUCAUUGCUUCGCUGUAGCUCAAAAGGGCCGCACAGCAGGGACCUGGAGAAGAGAGAGAGGCCUGAGGUUCGUUACUGACUGCAAUAAAGGAAGCUGGGUUUUGAGACAAUGCUGAUCAUCUUCCUCUUAAAGUCCCCCUCCAGCAGGAACUGAGUAAGCUGCAAAGAGCCAUGUGCACUGAGGUUAAAGCUCAUCUUGCUCUUUUCUUGCCCCAUCUCUGCCACAGUGGACAGUAGGCCAAAAAAAAAAAAAAAAAAAACCCAAACAAAAAAAUAGCCAAGUGAAAAAAUAAAGGGAGGGGAAAAACAUAACCCUUUUUUGCUAAGUUCAGUUGUGGGGCAAGGCCACUGAAAACCUGGGAGGAAUAUGCCCCAUUUUGGAAAACAUUGUGGAGCUGACAUUCUGAAUUUACAAUAGUUAAAAACAAAAAUAAAGAAAACCUAACAAAUCAGCAGAAAAAUCUGGCUCAUUCUUUUCACAUUUUCAUCACGAAGCUUCAGAUUGUUAACUUUUUAACCCACACUUUAAAGCACGUAGCAUCUUUUACAGAGGUCCCCUUAAAUAAGAGUUACCUGAAACAUUGUAGACCUAGUGACCCACCAAUUUGGUCAUAUUUGCAAACAUGCCUAUUAUUUUGUUAUUAUAGCACUUGGGAGCCUUAUACACGGUCCAGGACCCCAUUGUGCUAGGUGCUAUACAAACACAGAACAAAAAUACAAUCCAUGCCCCAUUCCUAAUAAUUUUCACAUCAGUUCAAAUCAGAUAAGAAAGCAGGAGAUCCAAGGUGACAUUUGGAAUUUUGGGACCAGAUACUGGCGCUCAGUCUAGCUUCUUUGUGGUAAAGGAAAACUUAAUUGCUUAGUAAUUAAUAAAUGGAAUAAUAAGGCUUAGCACUUGCACACAAGGGUCUACGUGCUCCUCAGCAAGCCAGGCCUAAAUCCUGCACAGGCUCUCUGGCUGUGACAACACAGCAAUGCAGCAGACUGAAAAUUCAGUGGCAGCUUCAUUGAAACACAAAAAUGAAUCAGGAGGCCUGUUGUUACCAGAGCGGAAGCAUGGCUGGAAUCAGGGAACAGAACCUGGGGUGAAGGGGGACAGACAUUGUCAUCUUAGCCAGCACUCCACAGCUGGAUCAGCAGUUACAGCAUGGGAGAGCAGGUGCUGGGGGAUUUCACAGAUGGUGUCUGAGUGACACAAUGAUUGGGGGUGGCGUGUUAAGGAUGCACAGCUGCUGAACUAAUAAGGUCUACUGGCUGAGGGAGCUGACAGCUCUCAUUUCCCAAUAGGAUCCCUGUGCAUCAUUCACACUGUCAUGCACUUGGCUGAGUUUACACCAAAUCAGGCUACCCUAAUUCUUUCUCCUAUACAAUUUUGGGACAAGUUAUGCUAAUUUCUGCUUCCACCAAAAUUAACUGCAGCAGAUUUGUAUGUGGAGACAAAGUGCGUAGUUUGCCAUCAAUACUGAGCUAGGGAAGGGACCAGUGUAACUUCUCCUACCCAGACAAGGCGUAACUCCCCUCUGUAGCAUGGCCUUUUACCAGAACUUUGCCCAGCUUGCCUGUCAGGACUUAGCUCACUCUUUAGAUUGGGCAGAGCUAACCAGUUUUGCCUUAAAUUGGCAGUUAAGCAAUUGGCAGCUGCUGGCUGCAGUGUUGCCAAUUGCCACAAUAUUUGGUGGUUUUCUUAAAGCCCUACAUCAAAUCACAGGAAUACAUGAAGAUCUCAGGUUUGGUUGUUUUUCUUUAAAAAAGCUUGCUAGACCUUAUGGUUAUGGAGAAACAUGAACUUAAAGGUUCAAAAAUAAGAAGGUAAAUAAAAAGAACCCUAAAAGUGUUAUUUUUAAAAAUCUUAUGAUUGUGGUGGGAGAGGGAUUGACUCAUGUUUUUUGAACACAGCAGUGGGAGUAUUGUUGCUGUUUGUCUGUUCUAGCUGGAACUUACCAGUUUUUCCUUUUUAAUUGCUCAGGAAAUACCUUAUUCUCACAGAAUGCUUGAUUAAAACCUCUUUAUAGAUGUUAACAAAUGUGUGUGACCCUCUAACUCAAGCAGUUAGCAGGCAGAGACUGUUCUAUUCUUGAAAGGAAUCAUAACAGCAGACCAGAAAAAAAAUGGUGAUAAGGACUGUAAACAGGAACUGGCAAAAGGCUGAUGGAAAGCAUUCUAUGAAGGGACUUGUAAGAACGUCAAGCAGAGCCUGCUUUUAUUUGAUUAAUGGACUGACUGAUGAAAAACCCCUGCAGGCUGAGGCUCAGUUCAUCUGAUAUCAGGGGUCUUUUCGAGAUAAACCAGCUUGCCAUCUUACCUGAGCUAACCGAGUGCAUGGAAGCCCCAACAGUAUCAUAAAUUAACAGCUGAAGGCCGCCCAAACACCAGGAAAUGAAAGUCGAUGAUAUGGGACAGAACAGCUUUACAUUGGAUAAGAAUGGCUUACGUCAAGCAUAACUAAAUUCAAAACACACUCACUGUGUCUCUCAGCUGUGAUGACACCAAAAGCCAAUGGACCCUUCUCCAGUUGUAAUUGUUAGUGCCUUUCCUCAGUUCAGCACAGCAAGUCAAACGCACUGUCAUGUGAUUCAGCCCUUUGUCUGAGUUUUGUGGCCUGACAGCUCCUCAUGCCUGCCUACGUUCCCCUGGCACCAUUCUCAGCCCUAGCCCUCUUUCCUCCCUGACAGACUCAGCUUCAGGGUUCCCAGCCUCUUCUCUGUUUUCACAAGCUGUUGUGCAGACGGACCUAUUGGCUCUCCUCCAGGUGCCCACAACUGUCUUCCAGAUAGGCCUACAGAAUCCUUACCCCAGCAUUCUUCUUGGCUUCUACCAUGGUACAAUGGCAGCUUGUUCGAUCUAGCAUUAGCUGCCAGCAGAGAUGAGUUACAACAAAACUCUGGAUCCAAAGACACCUGAGCUCUGGGGAAGCUGGGGUCUAAAUCAAAUGGUAUAAGGGCCCUAGCAGUAAACUAUGCAGAGUUCCUGGACUCAAACAGACUUAUCUCUGUGGGGGUUUCUGCCUUCUUGGGCAAAAUGCUUUAAUGCUAUAUACUUCCAUGUAUUUUGACACAACUACAGGCCUAACAGUAUAAAGAAUUUGAAAUGGAACAGAAAAGCUUUAGAAAACACUUAGUGAUGCCCUUGCAGUCCGAAGAGGAAAACACUGUUCAGUAUGUUCCUGUGGUGAAGUCACCCUGUCCGCUCUCUGCCGCACAAGUCUCUGGUUGGUGUCAACUUCAUGUGCAUGAAUCUCUGGCUUUCUAGGAGGAAUCUCUGAAUCACAUAAGCCACAGUAAUUCUCACUAACGUCUCAUGAAUACAUUACGGAAUUUACGCUCUGAAUGGCAGAGACUGUUUGACAUCAUGGUUGCUAGUUUCCCUGUGUACUUAAUCCACCUGCCUAUCUAAUCUUAGGGUUUUUUUAUAGCACCUAGCACUCUGGUAUCUAAGCGCUGACUUAGCCUGUGUAACUAAUGAAUAAAUGCAGGGUUGGUUUUUUUUUGUUUUGUUUUUUGGAGCAAAGACAGAAUGACAGAGGCAUUUCAGUGGCAUUGCAGAUUCAUCCUACAGUAGCUACACUAGUGAGGAUCAUAUUACGGAGGCUGAUAAUCCUUCUGCUGCAGGAUACAAGAUAGUCUCCAGCUGGGUUCAGGAAGAAAUCCCUCCCUGUUAGUUCUGUACAAUUAGUUGAGAUUAGUAAUUAAGUACAAUUAGUUAUGCCUUCCUCUGAAGCUUGUAACAUCGGUCACUACUUGAGACACGAUGCCAGGAUAGGUGCUGGAACUAAGGGUGUGGGGGUGCUGCUGCACCCCCUGGCUUGAAGUAGUUUCCAUCAUAUACAGGGUUUACAAGGGCUGUCAGCAUCCGCAAUAUACAAAUUGUUCCACCAGCCUCUAGAUACCAGAUUAGAUGGACCAUUGCUCUGGCAAUUCCAAAAUCCCUAUGAAGUGUUGAAAUCCAAGUCCUUUGCAAAAUGUUCUGUCUUGUUCAUGCAAUCCAUUCACCCUGAAGCUGCUUGAAAUGGCUUGUGUAGCACAUAGA